UGCCAGCAGCCGCGGUAAUACGGAGGGUGCAAGCGUUGUUCGGAAUUAUUGGGCGUAAAGCGCGUGUAGGCGGUUCGUUAAGUCUGAUGUGAAAGCCCGGGGCUCAACCCCGGAGCUGCAUUUGAAACUGCCUGGCUAGAGUAUAGUUAGGGAAAACGGAAUUCCACGUGUAGCGGUGAAAUGCGUAGAUAUGUGGAGGAAUACCAGUGGCGAAGGCAGCCUCCUGGCUCGAUACUGACGCUCAUGUGCGAAAGCGUGGGGAGCAAACAGGAUUAGAUA
rnacentral:rRNA from 1 species